UACGAGGGGGGCGAGCGUUGUUCGGAAUUAUUGGGCGUAAAGGGUGCGUAGGCGGUUUGGUAAGUCUUGUGUGAAAUCUACAGGCUCAACUUGUAGUCUGCAUGAGAAACUGCCGGGCUUGAGUAUGGGAGAGGUGAGUGGAAUUCCUGGUGUAGCGGUGAAAUGCGUAGAUAUCAGGAGGAACACCUGUGGCGAAAGCGGCUCACUGGACCAUAACUGACGCUGAUGCACGAAAGCUAGGGGAGCAAACAGG
rnacentral:rRNA from 1 species